rnacentral:rRNA from 1 species
CUACAUGAAGCUGGAAUCGCUAGUAAUCGCGAAUCAGCAUGUCGCGGUGAAUACGUUCCCGGGUCUUGUACACACCGCCCGUCACACCAUGGGAGUUGGAAAUGCCCGAAGUCAGUGACCCAACCGAAAGGAGGGAGCUGCCGAAGGCAGGUUCGAUAACUGGGGUGAAGUCGUAACAAGGUAUC